GACGAACGCUGGCGGCGUGCUUAACACAUGCAAGUCGAACGGAAAGGCCCUGCUUGCAGGGUACUCGAGUGGCGAACGGGUGAGUAACACGUGGGUGAUCUGCCCUGCACUUCGGGAUAAGCCUGGGAAACUGGGUCUAAUACCGGAUAGGAGCCAUUUUUAGUGUGAUGGUCGGAAAGUUUUUUCGGUGUAGGAUGAGCUCGCGGCCUAUCAGCUUGUUGGUGGGGUAAUGGCCUACCAAGGCGGCGACGGGUAGCCGGCCUGAGAGGGUGGACGGCCACAUUGGGACUGAGAUACGGCCCAGACUCCUACGGGAGGCAGCAGUGGGGAAUAUUGCACAAUGGGCGCAAGCCUGAUGCAGCGACGCCGCGUGGGGGAUGACGGCCUUCGGGUUGUAAACUCCUUUCGCUAGGGACGAAGCUUUUUGUGACGGUACCUAGAGAAGAAGCACCGGCUAACUACGUG
rnacentral:rRNA from 1 species